AGUGAACGCUGGCGGUAGGCCUAACACAUGCAAGUCGAACGGCAGCACAGCAAGAUCUUGCUCUUACUGGUGGCGAGUGGCGGACGGGUGAGGAAUACAUCGCAAUCCACUUUUUCUUGGGGGACAUCGUGGGGAAAGUUAUGCUAAUACCUCAUACUACCUACGGGUUAAAUCAGGAGUUCUUCGGACCUUUCCUGAUUGUUUUAGCCGAUGUCGGAUUAGCUAGUUGGCGAGGUAAAGGCCCACCAAGGCGACGAUCCGUAGCUGACCUGAGAGGAUGAUCAGCCACACUGGAACUGAGACACGGUCCAGACUCCUACGGGAGGCAGCAGUGGGGAAUAUUGGACAAUGGGCGCAAGCCUGAUCGAGCCAUACCGCGUGGGUGAAGAAGGCCUUCGGGUUGUAAAGCCCUUUUGUUGGGAAAGAAAAGCAGCAGGUUAAUACCCGGAUGUUCUGACGGUACCCAAAGAGUAAGCACCGGCUAACUUCGUG
rnacentral:rRNA from 1 species